rnacentral:rRNA from 1 species
CGACCGCGUGAGCGAUGAAGGCCUUCGGGUCGUAAAGCUCUGUUGUUAGAGAAGAACAAGUACGAGAGUAACUGCUCGUACCUUGACGGUACCUAACCAGAAAGCCACGGCUAACUACGUGCCAGCAGCCGCGGUAAUACGUAGGUGGCAAGCGUUAUCCGGAAUUAUUGGGCGUAAAGCGCGCGCAGGCGGUCUCUUAAGUCUGAUGUGAAAGCCCACGGCUCAACCGUGGAGGGUCAUUGGAAACUGGGAGACUUGAGUGCAGGAGAGAAAAGUGGAAUUCCACGUGUAGCGGUGAAAUGCGUAGAGAUGUGGAGGAACACCAGUGGCGAAGGCGGCUUUUUGGCCUGUAACUGACGCUGAGGCGCGAAAGCGUGGGGAGCAAACAGGAUUAGAUACCCUGGUAGUCCACGCCGUAAACGAUGAGUGCUAGGUGUUGGGGGGUUCCACCCUCAGUGCUGAAGUUAACACAUUAAGCACUCCGCCUGGGGAGUACGACCGCAAGGUUG